rnacentral:rRNA from 1 species
UUUCUAUUUAAUUUAAUAUUUUUAAUUAGUAAUGAAUAUUUUAUUUUAUGAAAUAACAUUUGUUUUUAGUAAUGUUUAUUGAAAUUAUAAUUUUUAUAUUUAUAUUUAAUGAUCACUGUGAGGGUGUUAUUGUUUAUUAGAUUUAAUAAGUAGAAUUUUAUUUUUGUACCUUUUGUAUCAGGGUUUAUCAAUUUAUUUUAUAUAUAUAUAGUUUUCCCGAAUUUAUAAGAGAUACCUAAUUUUGUUAUUUAUUGUAUUAAAAAUAUUAAUAAAAAUUAGUUUGGGGAUAUAUUCUAUUCAAUUAUAAUUAUAUCUGGUUUCUUAAUAUAUGAAUUUAAUUCAGGAUUAUUAAAUAUGCUAAUUUUAGUCUUUAAUUUAUAUUAGUUUAUAAUAUUCUAAGAUUAUGGGGGAUAAGCUCUAUAAUUAUUUUAUAGUUAUAAUUAUUAAUUGUUAAUCAAUAAAGUUCAUGGAUUAAAUUUUAUAGGUUUAGUAAUGGCCAAUAUAUAUUUUGUUAUAAUUAUUUUUAAUUUAUUUAUUUAAUUUAUUUGUGUAACUUAAUUUUUUAUUGAGAUUUUUUAAUUAAUGUUUAAUUUUAAGUAUUAAUGUUAGAAUUAGUAAGUUUUUGAUUUUAUAUAUAGUAAUUCGGCAAAUUUGAAUCUCACCUGUUUAUCAAAAACAUGUCCUGUUGAAUUAUUUGUUGUAUAUAUCAGGUCGUUUCCUGCUCAAUGAUUAUAAUUAUUAAAUAGCCGCAGUAUUCUGACUGUGCAAAGGUAGCAUAAUCAUUUGUCUUUUAAUUGGAGGCUUGUAUGAAUGGAUUGAUGAAGUUUCAUCUUUCUUUGUAUAAAAUAUUGAAUUUAACUUUUUAGUUAAAAGGCUUAAAUUUGUUUAUGGGACGAGAAGACCCUAUAGAAAUUUACUAGUUAUUAUGUAAUUUAUUAUUAGUUAAUUAAUCAAAUAGUUCCAUUAUCUGCUAGUUUCGUUGGGGUGACGUUGGGAUUUAUUUAACUCACAAUAAUUUUAUUUAUUGAUUUAUAUUUAUUAUGAUCCUUUAUUAUGGAUAUUAAGAUUAAUUUACCUUAGGGAUAACAGCGUAAUUCUUUUGGAGAGUUCAUAUCGAUGAAGGAGUUUGCGACCUCGAUGUUGGAUUAAAAUUAGUUUUAAGUGUAGCAGCUUAAUUUACUGGGUCUGUUCGACCUUUAAUUUUUUACAUGAUCUGAGUUCAGACCGGCGUGAGCCAGGUCGGUUUCUAUCUAUAAAAUUAUAAUUAUACUUUAGUACGAAAGGACCAAGUAUAUCAUAUAAUUUAUGUUAUAUAUUGAUUUAUUAUUAAAUUU